GGUGAAUAGCGCAGCUUGGUAGCGCAUCUGGUUUGGGACCAGAGGGUCGGGGGUUCGAAU
rnacentral:tRNA from 1 species